CGCUGGCGGCAUGCCUAACACAUGCAAGUCGAACGAGACCUUCGGGUCUAGUGGCGCACGGGUGCGUAACGCGUGGGAAUCUGCCCUUUGCUUCGGAAUAACAGUUAGAAAUGACUGCUAAUACCGGAUGAUGUCUUCGGACCAAAGAUUUAUCGGCAAAGGAUGAGCCCGCGUAGGAUUAGGUAGUUGGUGGGGUAAAGGCCUACCAAGCCGACGAUCCUUAGCUGGUCUGAGAGGAUGAUCAGCCACACUGGGACUGAGACACGGCCCAGACUCCUACGGGAGGCAGCAGUGGGGAAUAUUGGACAAUGGGCGAAAGCCUGAUCCAGCAAUGCCGCGUGAGUGAUGAAGGCCUUCGGGUCGUAAAGCUCUUUUACCAGGGAUGAUAAUGACAGUACCUGGAGAAUAAGCUCCGGCUAACUCCGUG
rnacentral:rRNA from 1 species